AACAGACCUGGUUCUCUUUAGAGGAAGAAGGAACUUGGAAUUAAAUGCACCUCGUUUUCUAACUGCCUAGCCCUUCCUAUUCAUUACUAACUCCAGGUAGAAAACAGGCAAGAGGAUUAGGGCAGCAACUCCAUGUACUGUACAGGGCCUCUGUGCUGCCCAGGCAGGCAGAGAGGGGUCCUUGCUGGCCUGUGGGAGGGGAAUGUUUUCAUUCCAUGUCCACAAGGCAAGUCACUUGGUGUCCAUCCUCUGCAUCAGCCAAAUGAGUUAAAAAUAAAAUCCUAAAAUGCACUGAGAAGCUAACGAUGACUGUGUUGAUACAAAUGGAAUUAUGAUUGAAUCUUCUUGUCAGUACCUUUCAUAUUUGUAUUUUUUUUCUUUUAUAUGAGGUAUUAUUUUUGAAAAUAAUUGUAAAACCUUUCCUACUUUACACCCGUUUUUGAGGGUUUAGGACACUAUACAUAUAAAACUGAUCAGAAAUUUUUAAUUGAAACACAUUUUAUAUAUUGAAGCUACCUUUUUUGUUUGUUUUAA
rnacentral:lncRNA from 1 species